rnacentral:rRNA from 1 species
AUCGUACCCCAAACCGACACAGGUGGUCAGGUAGAGAAUACCAAGGCGCUUGAGAGAACUCGGGUGAAGGAACUAGGCAAAAUGGUGCCGUAACUUCGGGAGAAGGCACGCUGAUAGGUAGGUGAAGUCCCUGCGGACGGAGCUGAAAUCAGUCGAAGAUACCAGCUGGCUGCAACUGUUUAUUAAAAACACAGCACUGUGCAAACACGAAAGUGGACGUAUACGGUGUGACGCCUGCCCGGUGCCGGAAGGUUAAUUGAUGGG